UUGGAGGAUAAAAGAGACCAUAAACAUCACUUGCAUGUGAACAUAAGGCCAUGUUUGGUGGAAGACUUACAAAAAUCAGAAUUUAUGAGAAAAGAGCUUAAGAGCAUGGAGGAGAAAGAAGAGCUUAUGUUCAUCCUUUGCAUUUUCGCAACCCAUGGACAGCCUCCACUAAAAGUGCCAUAACUCUCUGCUCACAGCUCCGAUUGAGGUUUGAAGUGGAGUGAUCCAUGCUGAGUUUGUGUGUGAAUGCAGCUGCGAAUUUGAUGAUGAAGAAGGUGAACCUUUGGGCAAGAGUGGAGUUCAAAGGCUGCAUUAACACCAUCUAAACCUCUAUUAAUCCAAGGUGCAGUUAGUAGCGUUUGGUCAGUAACAGGUUUGGACUGGAGACUUGGAAGUGGUGUUGGCUCGAAGACCUCGUUGGUUUUGACAUUCCGCUGUGCAAGAUCCAUUGAAGACACAUGUUUUGUAAUUAUUAUUAUUAUUUCAUGUUGUAAUCUAAAUGGAUCAUCUUGUAUCCAUAGCUUUUGUAUGUACUCAAUAUCAAUUUUAACGUU